AUGGAUAUGCUAAUGUCAACAUCUGCACAGCAAGGCGGGCUCUCAUGUGGGGUGGACUCAGGAGAGUAUGUGUUCAUGAACCCUAGAGUAUACCUAAACCGUGCAAAUGCGUUGGAUGAGAUGAGGGAUAGUCCAGGCAAUUCAGAAUCAGCUGAUGAGGCAGAGGAUGAUUCAGAUGGACUUCCACCAAAGAAGAGAAAGUCUGGAAGGGACC
rnacentral:misc_RNA from 1 species